GAUUAAAGAGCAAAUUUGUCCUUUCUGUUAAAAAUUCCAUGGCUAACAGAAUAAUUAGACAGUGACACGUGCCAUGUCGCAUGUACCUUAUGCUGAUGUACAAAAAUCAGUUUUUAAUAGCAAAAAUGGAUGGAAUUUUUAAUA
rfam:Gossypium hirsutum cultivar TM-1 chromosome 10, whole genome shotgun sequence